rnacentral:misc_RNA from 1 species
UCUCCGUAGGUGAACCUGCGGAGGGAUCAUUACCGAGUGAGGGCUCACGCCCGACCUCCAACCCUUUGUAAUCCAUACCAUGUUGCCUCGGGGGCGACCCGGCCUUCGGGCGUCGGGGCCCCCGGUGGACCAUCAACGCUGCAUUCUCUGCGUCGGAGUAUUAGUAAAUCUAAUCAAAACUUUCAACAACGGAUCUCUUGGUUCUGGCAUCGAUGAAGAACGCAGC